GACGAACGCUGGCGGCGUGCCUAAUACAUGCAAGUAGAACGCUGAAGAGAGGAGCUUGCUCUUCUUGGAUGAGUUGCGAACGGGUGAGUAACGCGUAGGUAACCUGCCUUGUAGCGGGGGAUAACUAUUGGAAACGAUAGCUAAUACCGCAUAACAAUGGAUGACACAUGUCAUUUAUUUGAAAGGGGCAAUUGCUCCACUACAAGAUGGACCUGCGUUGUAUUAGCUAGUAGGUGAGGUAACGGCUCACCUAGGCGACGAUACAUAGCCGACCUGAGAGGGUGAUCGGCCACACUGGGACUGAGACACGGCCCAGACUCCUACGGGAGGCAGCAGUAGGGAAUCUUCGGCAAUGGGGGCAACCCUGACCGAGCAACGCCGCGUGAGUGAAGAAGGUUUUCGGAUCGUAAAGCUCUGUUGUAAGUCAAGAACGAGUGUGAGAGUGGAAAGUUCACACUGUGACGGUAGCUUACCAGAAAGGGACGGCUAACUACGUGCCAGCAGCCGCGGUAAUACGUAGGUCCCGAGCGUUGUCCGGAUUUAUUGGGCGUAAAGCGAGCGCAGGCGGUUUGAUAAGUCUGAAGUUAAAGGCUGUGGCUCAACCAUAGUUCGCUUUGGAAACUGUCAAACUUGAGUGCAGAAGGGGAGAGUGGAUUUCCAUGUGUAGCGGUGAAAUGCGUAGAUAUAUGGAGGAACACCGGUGGCGAAAGCGGCUCUCUGGUCUGUAACUGACGCUGAGGCUCGAAAGCGUGGGGAGCGAACAGGAUUAGAUACCCUGGUAGUCCACGCCGUAAACGAUGAGUGCUAGGUGUUGGAUCCUUUCCGGGAUUCAGUGCCGCAGCUAACGCAUUAAGCACUCCGCCUGGGGAGUACGACCGCAAGGUUGAAACUCAAAGGAAUUGACGGGGGCCCGCACAAGCGGUGGAGCAUGUGGUUUAAUUCGAAGCAACGCGAAGAACCUUACCAGGUCUUGACAUCCCGAUGCUAUUUCUAGAGAUAGAAAGUUACUUCGGUACAUCGGUGACAGGUGGUGCAUGGUUGUCGUCAGCUCGUGUCGUGAGAUGUUGGGUUAAGUCCCGCAACGAGCGCAACCCCUAUUGUUAGUUGCCAUCAUUCAGUUGGGCACUCUAGCGAGACUGCCGGUAAUAAACCGGAGGAAGGUGGGGAUGACGUCAAAUCAUCAUGCCCCUUAUGACCUGGGCUACACACGUGCUACAAUGGUUGGUACAACGAGUUGCGAGUCGGUGACGGCAAGCUAAUCUCUUAAAGCCAAUCUCAGUUCGGAUUGUAGGCUGCAACUCGCCUACAUGAAGUCGGAAUCGCUAGUAAUCGCGGAUCAGCACGCCGCGGUGAAUACGUUCCCGGGCCU
rnacentral:rRNA from 1 species